UGAAGACGACGAGAACGAACGGAACGAACGGGUGGUUUCCAUAAAUAACGAAAAGGAAGUGGACCGCAGUACGACAGCGCAAAGUCAACUCGGGAGACUUGGAUCGAAUUCUGUUGACUACACUCCGUCGGAAAUCAGCGAGGGACAGUGGUCAACGACAUGGUCGCUUCCUGGCGACCCUGCCCAAGUCAUCAUCAAGAGCAAACCGUUCGUCAAGCGGCCCAUCGAGGUGUUUCCGAGACGACUGCUGGACCUGUGCAACCAGGAUGCACCACUCACGUUCUUCGCUCUUCUGCCACACGGGUGAC
rnacentral:lncRNA from 1 species